GCGGAAGUGGUAUUAGGCUGCUGAGAGUGGGACAGAGUGUUUCCGGCUGGGACACGAAUAGCAGUGAUGCUAGCUGAUCAGAAAGACUGGUUCACUCUGAAGCAGCACAGUGAGAGCCAAGCACCUCUGACUUUUUUUCCCUGAUAAAUCUGACUCCUUUUCCCAGCCAACAGCACUUGGAGGUGUUGCCUUCUUCCCCAGCAUCUCCUUGUUCAAAACAUGGAUCAUAAUGUCCGCUUUGUGAAGGGUUUCCUGAAUUUCAGAAGAAAACAGCUCUGUUGAUGUUAAAAGAUGGUAGAUGAGAUACCAUGGAUGAAGAAGAUAUAAAAACCCUAGCAAACCCUAGCAGGUGUAGAAAAAAGGUCUUGUGUAAGACCUGUAGGAGUGUGCAAUGUGUGCUGUGGCUGCAGGACAGAGGAUGGUGCAACCCUUUGAAGAAUGCUUUCCAACAGUGCUUCCCGUGAAAACCAGUGGAGGCCUCAGCAGAAGGAGGAUUGGACCCUGAAC
rnacentral:lncRNA from 1 species